rnacentral:tRNA from 1 species
CCGACCUUAGCUCAGUUGGUAGAGCGGAGGACUGUAGUAGGGUCUAUCCAACAGCAUAUCCUUAGGUCGCUGGUUCGAAUCCGGCAGGUCGGA